rnacentral:rRNA from 1 species
CCUACGGGGGGCAGCAGUGAGGAAUAUUGGUCAAUGGACGAGAGUCUGAACCAGCCAAGUAGCGUGAAGGAUGACUGCCCUAUGGGUUGUAAACUUCUUUUAUAUGGGAAUAAAAUGUUCCACGUGUGGGAUUUUGUAUGUACCAUAUGAAUAAGCAUCGGCUAACUCCGUGCCAGCAGCCGCGGUAAUACGGAGGAUGCGAGCGUUAUCCGGAUUUAUUGGGUUUAAAGGGUGCGUAGGUGGUUAAUUAAGUCAGCGGUGAAAGUUUGUGGCUCAACCAUAAAAUUGCCGUUGAAACUGGUUGACUUGAGUAUAUUUGAGGUAGGCGGAAUUCGUGGUGUAGCGGUGAAAUGCUUAGAUAUCACGAAGAACUCCGAUUGCGAAGGCAGCUUACUAAACUGCCACUGACAUUGAUGCUCGAAAGUGUGGGUAUCAAACAGGAUUAGAUACCCCUGUAGUC